rnacentral:lncRNA from 1 species
CGUACAUAGAUACCAAGCUGAAAUGGUUCAACAUGAAGAAUUCUAAAAAAAGCUAUUUUUUGAUAGGCCAAAAAAUUUUUCUUUCGAAAGGAGAUUGUCCGAUAACUCCUUUAGAGAGAGAGUGUGUAUGAGUAGAGUUUUAUAUGCUUUGGUAGUGGAUUUUAUUAUGUACGUCAUGAUAUGUAUGAGACCAGACAUGGCAUACUCAUUAG